UUUCUGAUGUGCAUGAAAAGAAACUGCUGUGCUCUUAACACCUGCUUGCAUGUGUUUGCUGUGUGUUUGAAGUCAAGGUGCUUCCCCUGCCUAGGUGACAUAGUGAUGACUGGCUCCUGAAUAUUAACCCAUUGCAACAUGAACACGUGUAUGAAUGAAAUAUACUCUGUACGUAAUCAUGUUACAAACAGUCUGAUUGGAUUUGGCUGAACAAAGCAGGUGAAGUAAAGAUACAUUCUGCCUUUACUAACAGCAGUUUUUGUGUACUGUCAAAGUAUAAAUAACAAACAAAGGUUUUUCCGUUGCAGUACCAUCUGCUACACAGGCAGCACCCGCCAAGGCUCAGGGUCCACCAGUAGAUGCUCCUGCAUCUCCAUCUGUGAAGAGACCUGAGCCCGUUCCCCAGGAGCUCGUGUGUCUGAUGCCAGAAGCAGCACGUCAUCCUUUAACAGAGCCGACUGUCACACUUCCUGUGUCAGAGGCGCUCCUGAUUUCUCCUGAGAUGUCUGCAGAGCCCGGUUAACUGCCAACUCCACAGAGAGGGCAAAGUGAGCCAUUCCCCAGGCCAAUAGCCGUCCCCACCGGUCCUCCUCCACAGCUUCCUGGCUACGACCAUGACGUCAGCCAGUGGACUUGUUCACAGCAGCAGAGGAUCUGGAUAAAGACGGAGCUGGAAGCUAUGGGUCUCUGGCCAGGAUCC